CACUGCGUCCCACCGUUAUCUUCCUAUCGUGUAUUUUUCUUAGCCGCACGCGAAAACGACAUCUCGCUCGCUUCCUCUCCAUUUCCCGGCGAAACGACGCGAAACACACUCGUUUUCCCCCGAUCUACACCGACGGCGACGACGACGACGACGACGACUGUUACCCGCCGGUUGGGAUCGGGAAUUUAUUCCUCGGCUGCUAGCAGAACAAAGAAGAUGGUCGAACGAGCCAGACCAAAAGGCGCCAUCUUUCGAUACGAUGGCGUGACACUCGUAAAUCUGGCUUAUCGUCGAGAUCCGAAAGAUUGCUGAGCUUAGGAAAAUACCAGAUGGAUGAUUGAUCACCGGCUGUCGAGAAGAGUUUUUCGUCCUUUGGAAAUUGAGGUUAAGGUAGUUCUCAACUAACUGUGUUAGUCGAGUUGGAAGUUUGUUGAUGGACGAUGAAUAAAUAAAGGUGAUAUGAUAUUAUGGAAAUGAUAAUGGUAAUUGUUAACGUCAUUUAUAUUUAUUGCUAAAGGUUAAAUGUCGAUAUAAAUAAUCGCAAUAGGAAAGUAGAAUGUUAUGUCGACUAGCGUAGUGGACGAUAAAACGUUUAAUAACCGAAGCAAAUAAUUUUCAGGAACAAGAAGAGGAAGUUCGAACAUUGAAAUUGUAUUUAUCGAAAGAAAGGGAAAGUUAUAUUGCUGACAUUCGAGUACAUAUACGGGUGUUAACGCCUUGCGACCAAGCUGGAGCCUAAAACUCGUGCCGCUGUAUACGUCAGUCAGUAAAUCAGCCUUUCCAACUAUGCCAAACCAACAGCCGCGAUCGUAAAACUCAAUGCCUACGAUCCGAUAGUUUACCAAUAGUUUACCCGCCGAACAAGGUCUCCCAUACCAUAGCAGCGCCAACAUUUCCAAAAACUCGUCCAAUCACACCGCAUCGGUCGUACAUAAAUAUUCUGUUAACUCGAUUAGGAUCGAACAUAGCUUCGAGCUUCAUGAUUAUUUGAUCAUUUCCAUCCACUCGUUUAUCUCGUUUUAAUCUGUCGGUCGAUGAAGAUGAAGUAACGAACACGAACUCGACGUGUUUUUACGUUCAAGAAUAAAUGAUAUCGUAUCGAAAUUUUCACGAACUAGAAUGAUAGAAAUCGAUUUAUUUUUCUAUCGAUCUCUUUGAAAGUAAUUUCGGCAUGAAACUUUUUAACCACCUCUUUUGCGACCUCUUCGAAAAGCGUGUCAACUAAAACGUGUGGCAGAGAGUAAGCGACGAUUAAUUUUAUUACCGAAAAGUUACUCGUCGUAACGCGGAAUAUCGUCAUUUCUUCGUGACGAGUAUACUCGUCGAUAACAGCCAGCUGGUUAAUCAAGGGAUGACAGAUAUCCAAUGACAUAGUGCGUUGUAACAUAAAUCGUACAACUUGCGACGAAACUCAAGCAAGCGAAAAUAAUUCAAACGCAAAAGCAAUAGUCAAGCGUGUUAUUCGAUCGUCCUGUUUAAACGCAUUAUCCUCCAGACGAAGAUCAGACAAUUAAUUAACGCGAUGACGUUGAUACGCGAGCCAACAAACAUCUCUCAGCCAUGUUUCUUCGUUAAGAAAGUAGCGAGGGAAAAAGUUUCGGGGCAACGUCGUUGGGAUUAUGGGGCGUCGCGGCGCGAGGAUCACCGUGUACCCUGUUGUACUUCGGUGUUUUACAGCCACGCAAGAAAGCAAUGGCGGUGCCUUGCCUCGAAAGACGAAACAAGAAGAAAGCCGUGUUGGCCUUGCGGAGUCUGCAAACGCGUCGAACAAAGCCUCGCAAAGCUUAACUGGCUCCGGUCAAUGGAGAUUUAUCUCAGUUCUAGUCUGAUUUCUGCAGGUUUCUGCGCUCUUAAAGGCAGAUUCUCGCGUACGAACAACGACGAGUACGAACGAUUUUUAUGAAUCUUUUUAGGCCAACCGCUGCUUAUUAGGAAUUAGAUCUUUUUGCGAUGUAAAUAUUGAGUUGACAACUAAAUGAUCGCGGAUUUUGUCAUUAGGUGGUAAUGACAAACAGAUCGCUGUUCGGGUACAAAGGUAACUUUUGUUUUAUUUCAGUUCUUCUUAUCGUUUAUCGUACCAAUAGUUGCCGCGUUAAAUCAAAGACUAGAAAAUCUGAGAAGCGUAAAACUUGAAAAGACUAAAAAGCGUGGAGUAAAGAAUCCCUUGGACGAGUCUACGGGUGGUCCGUAAGUACGCUAUUGGUGCACAGCUGAUCGCUCUCCCGCGUCCAGAAACCGUUUCAACGAGGCAAAUAUCUUGGCGGGAGCAGCGUUUCGUAAGUCCCUGGAGAAUCCAAUAGAAGAAAAUGAAAUGUAAUGCGCAGAUAUUACGAAAUUAAAUUCCGAGCAUACGUGGAUCAUUUUAAAACACCAUGUAUUUAGUUGAAACAAUUUUCACACAACUUUGUACGUACUUCCUAACAAUUACGUAAUUUUGUCAUUAUUUAUUUUUGUUGGAAGAAUCGUUAGUUUCGGAAGAAACAAAAUUAUUUAACGAGUUCCUCCGAUUUUGAAACAGUUUGUUCGUUAAAAAUUCCAUCUGCCUUGUCGUAUGGCAUUUAUUUAUUUCAGCCUGGUGAAAUAUCGAAUAUAAUUGAAUCUAGUUUUACGUACAGUUUAUAAACAUGAAAUAAAGCUAAAACUAAACUUACAGGUAACUGCAAUACCAUAAAAAUAGAUUGAUUCUUUCAACAUUCGUCCUCUCUAUCUCUAAGUACUUUAUCACUGUACAAACAUUCUCCCUAUUACGCUUCAUUCGUCCACUCACUUAUUCCUCCAUUCCGCCGCUCGUUACCUAUUUAUUCUUUUUUCUUCUUUCUUGCUCGCGCUUUAUUUCCCAAUAAUUGCGGUUUUCUUCGCUUGACUUCUGUUUCUACCGCCCUCUGUUCGUGUUACGAGAACUUAGCAAAGACAACAAGCAGAAAACCAACGAAUGAAAAAAGAAAGAAAGAGGAACGAACUAAAUAAUUUGUUUCACGUCCAAAUAGAUCGAAACACACGAGUUCCUCGGCCUUGUCUUCCGCUUUCUGCUCCUGCCCGUUUGUCCGCCACGAAAUCCUAUUAGAAACAACACGAAAGAAAUCAGCCGGUUAAAGGGGAACGUACAAGAGCAAAUGCUCGACCAUCGAGCGACAAGUAAUUUUUUGAACGCCCGAAUAAAUUAAAGUACCCUGGUACCGUCCUGUAAGUGUUAAGUUGUCGUUGCCAACAGCAGAGAAGAGAGGUGAAAAAGGCCGUUAAGUGUUUUUCAGAGCGUUCGCGUCGUCAACAACCCUCGCUCCUUUCUCCGUACGCUUUUCCACUGCUCGCUUCUUGUUCCAGCGUACUUCCGCUCGAAAAAUUGGCCCAUUCCUUGCCUAAGUCGAUUCGUUAGGGAAGCAAAGUGGUAAUUUGGAGGACGUAUCUUCGGUAAGAUUGAUCGUACGAUGGAGAAUAGGCAGGAUCGUUAUUGGAUAGCGACGCAGUUCCAGGUUGACAGUGAAUAAGAUGUAUGGUACGAUGUUGGGUUUUUCUGAAGAAACAGAACCUCCAGAGUCUAGUCUAACGUAUUUAUGAUUGUCCGCUCUGUUUGGUAAAAAUGAAACGAAUAAAAUGGCUAAACUGUAGGAUCAGCGACUAGUCUGGAAGCCGGAGGGUCUUUCGAAUAACAGUCGAAAAUUCUUGAUCGUUCGAAUCGAGGAAUAUUUUACACAGGCUGGGCAAUAAUACGUUUAAUACGACGUUUUUAAACGAUCGCAGGAAUGUCAGCGAUCUUUCUUUCCUAUUUAAGAUCAUAAAUGGUCAGAUCUCGUUUGCUACUCAGUUGCUACAGCUUGUUUUUACUUUUAGAAUGAAUCACGCACGCUAUGGGUAUAAUUUCAUUACGCUACCGUCAAACCUAACAAUGGCUCCAGUGUCCCAAUUAAUCGAAUACUAAAACUUAGCCAAAACAUUUCCGGAGCAGACCGAUCUUUUCUGUGACUCUGCUCUACGUUUCGAGAAAUCUUUGGAUCAAGCUGGACGCACCGUUGUUGAACCAUAUUUUAGGGAUCAUGGUCCCAGAUGUCAGACGUCAACGAGAGCCGUAAAUUCCCGUUACGAUUAGAUAAUCGACGCCACGAAAUGAUCGAUCCCCUGAUUUCUGUUACGACAAUAGGUUCAAUUGAAUUUACACUGAAUUAACAGGAUAGAACCCGAUAAUGACAUGUUGACUAUUCUAACGACGAAGAAUAAGCAAGUUAAAGUGGCGAUGCUGUGUCGGAGGAGAGCUAGUGAUGGGUGUGUCUAAAGCAAGGGACCAUCGGAUUUGUUCAUGACAAUUUUGGUCAGGAAAGUGAGGGCAGUAGACUUGCUUCUGAUUGGAUGAAAGAAGGUUGAUGGACUAGGAAGGAUCUUAGCCGCCCUCGAUAGAUAGUUGCUAGUGUAAAGUAUCGUACGUGAGAAAAACUAACUUUCCCGUGUCUUCCCGUAGCAAACAAUAGGCUUUGGAAACGAGUCAGUAAAAAGAUGUUUGUACGAUCUGAAGGACUUUAGCUAGGAAAUGCCUGAGAUUUAUGAUAGGUCCUUAAGACUAUUGAGGCUAUGCUGUAAGGACGUGCGGACAUCUGGUUGCCAUCCUGCCCGCGGUGUGUGGCCUGAUCUAGCAACUUCGAUAGAGAAAUAAAGAAUUUGGAGGAAAGGAGCGAUCGUAACUGGAAGCUGCAAGCAAUUUAAGCCCAUGUGAAGGUAUAACUGCGCGAAUGUCUCGAGAGAUUCAAAAGCACCCACGUAAAAAUCAUAUCCGUGGCGUUAAAAAGAUAAAAGAGGUAUCUGUCGAGCGAGACACUAAAGCGGGAUAUAAAGGACGCUAGAUAUCACCGCAUCGCUAUCACCGGCAACGUCCUACCAGUUCGUAACCCGGCCAUUACGCGAAUUUCGCCGUGAAACCUCCUAAUAAAGUCCGGAAUAAAAGAAAGGAGCGAGAUUAACGAAGAAACAUUUUGCCAGAGAUUCGUUGCGCGCUAAGUAAAAGUAUCCCGGUGGCCAUUAAGAGCGGCGUUCCGCGCGGAAACACGGAAAACAUUUGGACAACCGCGGCGUCCGUGACGUUUCCGCUGCGUGUA